rnacentral:lncRNA from 1 species
UUGUUCCAUUUUAGGUAUUUAAAUAAUAGACUCAGGAAGCCUUCACUAACCUCUGAGGCUGCAUCAGAUCUUCCUGCGAACCAUUUGUACAGAAGUGUGGCUUUCAUUUAUAACAAUCAUGUAGCACAUGAUCACAUGUUUGUUUAUUUGGUUGAUUUCUGUUUCCCCAACACAGGAGACUGAAGUCUGUAUCUGAUAUGGUUCAUUGUUCCACAGUCUGAAUGAAGCACAGUGCUGUGUCAAUACUUAGAAAAAUCAUCCUGUUAUGAAGGAUGGGGAUAAGGAUAUGUUUUACUUCCAUCAACAUCAAAGCUGCAGAACUAUUCAAGUCUUUGAAUGAUUACCUAACAGGAAAACUGAAUUGGUUGUUUCGGCUCAGUAUACACAUGGAUGGAGCAGCUGCCAUGCCUGGAUGCCUUUCUGGUUUCACUACUUGCGCCAAACAGGGGAGAUUGACAACUGUGUUCAAGUCUGCAGAUAACGUGGAUGCAUUCAAAGCCAAACUGAAAUUGUGGAUGUGGGUUCAGAGCUCUCUGAAGACACUCUCUGUAUCUUCAGCAACUUUCACUGAUGUCUUUAUAUGCAAAGCGGGCAAAGCUCUGUGGAAAGAAUCCUCUACAUCUAUCAAGUCUCAGCUACACUGUUUCUUUCUCAAUGGAGCUCCCAAAAUACGUCUGCAGGACUCUGUUGCCUUAGGAGUUAAUCUCACCUUUGUCUUUCUGUAAUUCCUCCCAUGUAGAGUUUGAAUAUGGCCAUAGUUUCAGCUCUAGCAAUGCUUUAUAAAAUCACUCAGCAUUCUUUUAAAUGCAGAGUUAAAGUUAUAGAAAAGAAAUGGUAAUUGAUAUGUGCUAGAAAUUAAAAUGUUUCUGGAAUCCAAUAAGGAUGGGAUCUAAUCCUUCAGGGGUCUCUGUGAGUGGGAGGAGAUUGCACAUCUCAACAAACUGAGGGUGUUUUAACUAGGGUGAGUUUUAACACCUGUGUGCAGAAGGCAAGUGAGGUAUCCCUUGCAGGAGGCAGCAGUGAGAACUAAAAUCCCUGUACAAAGCAGUGCAGGUGCAAGGUAGAUGAAGGAGUGGCCCAGACAAAAUGUGCCUCUGACACAGACACAUGCAGACAGCAAGACAACUGACUGCUGCUUCAUGGACCGUUUGUAGAAAAAAUGAGUUGUCACACUGUGAUAACUCAUGCCCAUGGUUCCGUCACCACAGGUAUUCUGGUUUAGAUCUGAAAUGUCCCCCCAAAAUGUUUCAUGUGUGUGAAAGGUGAUGGAGUACUAAUCAGCCAUAAAGAAUGAGAAACUAGAGACAUAUAUAGCUAAAUGGAUGCAUAUUGAGGCCAAACUCUUAAGUGAAAUAAAUACAGUACACAUGUGUAAAUACCGAAUAGUUUCUCUGGUGUGAGAAACUGAAAGUGUCAAUAAGGAUUAAAAUUAUUAAAACGAAUAAUUGAUAAUUUGAAAUAGGAAGAAAAGGUCCAAAGGGGUAGGGAAAGUUGGAGGGCAAGGGGAAAGGUAAGAAGGGAAAGGAAAAAUUAUGAGAAAAGGAAAAAAUGGAAAUAAAGUGUUUGUAAAUAGGGAAGGAUGGAGGGGGUGAAGGGAGGACAGGGAAUGGGGGAAAAAAUAACCAAGAUACAUCUUGUACAGGUACAAGCACCCAAUGAUAAAUGUAAACAUAUUGUAUACCUAAAAUGUACCAAUAAAAUAAUUUAAGCAAAAAAAAAAUUUCAAAAACAAAAAGCCAAACACUCAAAAAAACCCCCCAAAACGGUGACUGGAUCAUGGGCUGCUAUACUCACCAGUGUAUUCAUACUGUUGAUGAAUUCAUGGCUGAAUGUGCUGUUAGGAGGUGGGGUCAGGUUGGAGGUGGGUCAUGGGAGGUGUGACCUGGAGGGAUGUAUUCUUGUCCACUGCUCCUCCAUUUUCUCUCUGCUUCCUGGUUGUCAUGGAAUGAGCAGCUGUUCUCUGCCAGGCGCUUCUACUAUAAUGUCCCUUCAGCCUAGGAAAUGGCCAACAAUUGAGUAAAUCCUGUAAAAAUCAUGAGACAAAAAUAAACUUCUCCUCCUUUAAGCUUUGGGUGCUUGGCAUUGUGCUCUAGUGAUGGGUAAGUGACUAACACAAUAAAUUUGAGGCUCUAAUUUUUACUGUUGGUUGAUUGAGGGACCCUUAAGGGAAGAAGGAUCUUAAAUCUUUAUGUGAAAGGAAUCAUUAACAACUAAUUUGAAAGAUUUAAUGAUUAAGAAAACAAUUCUACAGAACUAUAAUUCAACAAAAUAAUUUAUAAAGAAAUAGAAAAUUCCUAUAAAAAGAGGUGAAGCAGUUAAUAGAAGUUUAGCCAGUUGCCUUAAAUGCUAAUGAGAAAUAGAUUCAUACCAUUUACUGACAUCAUCUUCAAAACCUGUGUAUGAGGUAUAGGUAAUCCUUAUGCAAAUAUUUUCAUAGAAUUAGAAAAGAAGGAAAAAUCUCAAUUAAUUUUAUAAGAUUAUUAUAACUUUGAUUCCAAAACCAGGCAAAGGCAAUGUGAAAAAGAAAAACUACAUGUAACUAAUGGUCAAGGAGGCAAAAAUUCUAAUUGAACUCAGCAAAGUGAACCUAGGCAAGAAGGAAGGAGAGAGAGAGAGAGAGAGAGAGAGAGAGAGAGAGAGAGAGAGAGAGAGAACAAAGAGAUGGGAAGGGAGAAAACAUCUUUCAAAACAGCCACAUCAUAGUAUGUAGACUUCUUCCAAGAAUGUAGGGGUAGUCUUAUUUGAAAAAAAUGUAACUGAAAAUCUUUUAAAACAAAUAGAAGGGCUGGGGAUUUAGCUCAGUGGUUCUGCUGCCUGCCUUGCAAGCACAAGGACCUAAGUUUGAUCCCUGGUACCAAACAAAACAAAACAAAACAAAACAAACAAAUAGAAGGAAAUGUUUCUUAAAUAAAAAUGGCAUCAACUAAAUACUGGCAAUAUUCAUUGGAUUUAAUGUAGAAGUUUAACAUAAAAGAGAGAAAAAGUCAUAAAAUUUAA